rnacentral:rRNA from 1 species
CUACGGGUGGCUGCAGUGAGGAAUACUGCACAAUGGGGGGAACCCUGAUGCAGCAACGCCGCGUGGAGGAUGACGCAUUUCGGUGUGUAAACUCCUUUUAUAUGUCAAGAAAAUGACGGUAGCAUAUAAAUAAGCACCGGCUAACUCCGUGCCAGCAGCCGCGGUAAUACGGAGGGUGCAAGCGUUACUCGGAAUCACUGGGCGUAAAGGACGCGUAGGCGGGUCGGAAAGUCAGGUGUGAAAUCCUACAGCUUAACUGUAGAACUGCACUUGAAACUUCUAAUCUAGAGUAUGGGAGGGGGAGAUGGAAUUAGUGGUGUAGGGGUAAAAUCCGUAGAUAUCACUAGGAAUACCUAAAGCGAAGGCGAUCUCCUGGAACAUUACUGACGCUAAGGCGUGAAAGCGUGGGGAGCAAACAGGAUUAGAUACCCCCGUAGUC